rnacentral:rRNA from 1 species
UAAUAUCGGAACGUACCCAAGAGUGGGGGAUAACGUAGCGAAAGUUACGCUAAUACCGCAUACGAUCUAAGGAUGAAAGUGGGGGAUUCGCAAGAACCUCAUGCUCCUGGAGCGGCCGAUAUCUGAUUAGCUAGUUGGUAGGGUAAAGGCCUACCAAGGCAUCGAUCAGUAGCUGGUCUGAGAGGACGACCAGCCACACUGGAACUGAGACACGGUCCAG